CUUUGAGAGAGAGUAACAGUGCGUGAAACCGGUCAGAGGUAAGCGGGUGGAGUUGAACUGCAAGCUCUGAGAAUUUCGCCGGUGAGUGUGGUUUGAGCUUGGUCAAGUCGGUUGGGCCCUGGAGUCUGUGUAGCAGCAGGCCUCUGCCGUUUUGGUGGGGGUGCGCGGUACACUUGUCAAGUGUUGCGCGCUCUGGGUGUUCUUCGGGCCGACUCGCCGGUUCACUUUCUCAGAGUAGUCACCACGACCGGCACUGCUGUCUGGCUGUUGCGGUUAAACCGGUUUCGCAUUGUCCCCGUGGCUCUGCUUGAUCGGGAUGGCAGGUAGCUCGUUGGCUAGCUUGUGGCUUGCUGCAGGCAAUCGGUCUUCGAGUGUAAUCAGCUGACCGUUUCGGUUUUGUGCAGUGUGUCGGAGACGGCGGCUUUUGUGUGUGCGUGCGUGCCGGGUUGGCCGGCCUGUCCGAGUUCUGGUUGUUAUGUAGCCUGUGAAUGCAGGCCUGAUGAUGGCUCGGGCUGGUUCGGUCGACGGUUGCGUGCGUGACACGGUUGCAUGGGCCAAUAGUCUGUGGUGUAGUGGUAGACUAUCCACCCGACCCGUCUUGAAACACGGACCAAG
rnacentral:rRNA from 1 species